UAUUUGAUACCAGAAUUAGGGCUCCAAAGAGCAAAGGUAACUACUACGAUAUUUCCUGUCAAUUUUGUAGUCUUGCAAGUUGAGAUUAGGGCUUCAAGUAAUUUAAACCUGUUGACUUAUUCGGAUAAAUUGGAUUUCAAUGUUGCAGUAAGCUUGAAUUUCUCCCGUUUUCCUUUUACAAUGACGAAUUUUGCAAUUCCAUUUGAAAUGGAAAAAAAAUCAGUUCUGAUUUGGGGGAAAGAAUUAGCCUUUUCAAUUUCAUCUUAAAUGAUUGGUAUUCAAAAUCGCAUUUAGUAUGAACUGGCAAUAUUGGGGUGAAUUUUCACGUCAACUAAACCCUAGAAAGGAUUUAGGGAUUUGGACUGCAGCUUUCUCACGGGAAAUCUUCCCUCGACAAGUUGUUGAACAAAUUCGAGUGCUCUUUGUCAGGGUUGAAAUUCUAAUAUUUGAACCCACAUGCCCUAAAUGUUGUUAUACUAUUGGCUAAGCCACUACGUUAUACAGGGAGGGGGUUGUGGUCUUUUAAGGGAUAUUAUGGGCAUCUUCAAGGUUUACUAGAUAACAAGAGACGACCGUUUGAUUGAUGUUUUGAGCUCGACCCACCUGAUAUUGAAAUGAGAUGUUCUUUCGUGGUGAAUGUUCAUUCUAGAGUAAGACUUAUUAAAACUGAAAGUUGUUAUGAUAUUUAUCCGUUUUCAACAGCAAGGGAAUAUUUUUUUGUUUUUGUUUUGGGACUCUUCUAGAAUCUUGAAACAUUUCAAACUGAAUGUAGUUGGUAGUUUAAGUAAUUGGUAGAAUUUUUUUGUGUACAAGUACUGUUGGAGGUUUGGGACUUUUCCUGUAUGUGAUGGAAGCCAUGUGAAGCAGCAACUGCAGAUUUGUUGGAUUCCUAUCCUGAAGAAGCAGUAAGCCGCGUGGAAGCGGAAAGAAAAAAAAAGAUGAAGGUGGAGGCUUAUCGAAGGAUAUCAUGGCUAGAAGAUGUUGGAGUUGGUUUCAUUUUUUUAUUUAUGUGAUCUGGGCAUAGAGAGGCUUCACUUGAAAAGGGAUCUAAGGUCUUCUAAGAUGGGAACUGCUUGCCAAGAAGGAUUUUGAAGAUAGUUUUGUGAUUCCUUUUUUUUUUUUUUUUUUUCCCACCUGUAUAUACAAUGACGAUAUAUUAUCACAUGUUGUGUACAGUUUACAUUUAUGACUAUUAAGUAAUGGAAUGUUUUUUAAUAGUCUUUUUAAGAAAUGCUUUAUAUCACCUUUGUAAUGGUAAA